CAAACGGCUCUUUUCAGAGCCACCCAAAUAUUAAAAAGAGUAACC
rfam:Ciona savignyi cont_59654, whole genome shotgun sequence.